rnacentral:rRNA from 1 species
GACGAACGCUGGCGGCGUGCUUAACACAUGCAAGUCGAACGAGGCUGAACAGAGCUUGCUCUGUGACUGCCUAGUGGCGAACGGGUGCGUAACACGUGAGAAACCUGCCCCAGACUUGGGAAUAACAGUCGGAAACGACUGCUAAUACCGAAUACCUUCGUAACGUCGCAUGGCGAAUCGAAGAAAGCUUUAUGCGGUUUGGGAGGGUCUCGCGGCCUAUCAGCUAGUUGGUGAGGUAAUGGCUCACCAAGGCAUCGACGGGUAGCUGGUCUGAGAGGAUGAUCAGCCACACUGGGACUGAGACACGGCCCAGACUCCUACGGGAGGCAGCAGUGGGGAAUAUUGCACAAUGGGCGAAAGCCUGAUGCAGCAACGCCGCGUGCGGGAAGAAGGCCUUAGGGUUGUAAACCGCUUUCAGCAGGGAAAAAAUGACGGUACCUGCAGAAGAAGGUGCGGCCAACUACGUGCCAGCAGCCGCGGUGACACGUAGGCACCAAGCGUUGUCCGGAUUUAUUGGGCGUAAAGAGCUCGUAGGCGGUCCAGUAAGUCGGGUGUGAAAACUUUGGGCUUAACCCAAAGCGUGCAUCCGAUACUGCUGUGACUUGAGUACGGUAGGGGAGCGGGGAAUUCCUAGUGUAGCGGUGAAAUGCGCAGAUAUUAGGAGGAACACCGGUGGCGAAGGCGCCGCUCUGGGCCGAAACUGACGCUGAGGAGCGAAAGCAUGGGUAGCAAACAGGAUUAGAUACCCUGGUAGUCCAUGCCGUAAACGUUGGGCACUAGGUGUGG